GAUGAACGCUGGCGGCGUGCUUAACACAUGCAAGUCGAGCGAGAGAGUUCUUCCGAACAAUCUAGCGGCGGACGGGUGAGUAACACGUGGGCAACCUGCCUCAUAGAGGGGAAUAGCCUUCCGAAAGGAAGAUUAAUACCGCAUAACACCGUUGAAGGGCAUCCUUCGAUGAUCAAAGGAGCAAUCCGCUAUGAGAUGGGCCCGCGGCGCAUUAGCUAGUUGGUGAGGUAACGGCUCACCAAGGCGACGAUGCGUAGCCGACCUGAGAGGGUGAUCGGCCACAUUGGGACUGAGACACGGCCCAGACUCCUACGGGAGGCAGCAGUGGGGAAUAUUGCACAAUGGGGGAAACCCUGAUGCAGCAACGCCGCGUGAGUGAUGACGGCCUUCGGGUUGUAAAGCUCUGUCUUUGGGGACGAUAAUGACGGUACCCAAGGAGGAAGUCACGGCUAACUACGUGCCAGCCGCCGCGGUAA
rnacentral:rRNA from 1 species